rnacentral:lncRNA from 1 species
GAAGAUCCGGCGCAGCUAAAGUCAGUGGAAGGUAGAAAGACGCCACAGCCGCCUUUCGACAACUUUUUGUUACAAAAGUGGAGAUCUACACGGAGGCGACGGCCUAGGUCGCUCUGACAGGACCCAACGACCCUCCUGACGCGUCCACCCGUCCUCGCUAGCAGGGUCCCCCAGCGGGCUCUCGACCUGCGCCACCAGAGUUCCACUCUUUUUGUCGACAAUAAUAUGGCGCCCAAACACGUGGGGCCUCAGAGAAGACUCUGGAUCCGGAAGGAGUAUCCCAAAACCAGAGCUAAGGUACCAGCUGGAGCCCACUGAAGCCUCACCGAGUUUGGGCUUCUCCUCCUGUGGAACUGGAAACCAAAAUCAUGGUAUUUUGAAAACCAGAGGUAUGAAUCUCCCUCGUUUGGCAUCCCACUGGGCCUGGACCUGUUUCACUGCUAAUGUUCUGCUGCCAAAACUAUACAAGCUGCCUGGACUAUUGCAGAAGAGAGACAGAGUCUUGCUCUGUUGCCCAGAAUGGAAUGCAGUAGCACAAUCCUAACUAAUCGUAACCUUGAACUCCUGGGUUCAAGCGAUCCUCCUGCCUCAGCCUCCUCAGUAUAGGACUACAGGCGUGCCCAGGUCGUCAUGGCUGCCUCACUGUGCUCAGCAACUACAGGCAGAGUCCACCCCAUAUGAUCACUUUCUCAGUCUUCAUUAUCUGCCUGCAGGGCUCCUGCCAGUCAAAGUCAUUAUGCAGAAUUCCAGAUACUCAAGGUUGGAGAGCUACUAACCCAGUACAUGAAUUCCCAGUGUAUCUUUCAGUGUUCUGAACCUGUAUUUUACAUUUUCAGAAAAGUUGACCACAGAAGCAUGUUUAUAUUGUAUUAAAACAAACUAUUUUUCUGGAAAGUUUUCCCAUUAAGCGUCUAACCUCCAAGCAUCGAAUCCCAGGCCAAUUUGUUUCAAAGUACCAACCUGGAGAAAAUGCCCUGGAUUUGGAAGCAAAGUAUUGAAUGUUGGAAGUCUGAAUAAAGGAAUCAUACACUGUAUGUGCACCUGAAUGUACUUUACAAGCAUCAGUAGAACACUUCUGAUUGAAGCUUGGUCUUAUGAAGAUAAAAAUUUUAUGUGGACCACAGAUUCUCUAAAAAUCAAACUCCAAGUAGGAUCAACACAAAGACACCCACAUUCAGGUACAUCUUGUCAAAUGUGGAAAGGCAAGAAUGAAAUGAAAUGUUGACAGCAAGAGAAAAACAUCCCUUUAUAUACAGAGGAACCCCAGCAACAGUAACAGCUGAAUUCUUGUCAAAAGCAAUGGAGACCAGGGCUGGGAGUGGUGGCUUGCACCUGUAAUCCUAGCACUUCGGGAGGCCAAGGCAGGUGGAUCACCUGAGGUCAGGAAUUCGAGACCAGCCUCUCCAAUGUGGUGAAACCCCAUCUCUACUAAAAAUACAAAAAAUUAGCUGGGUAAGGUGGUGGACACCUAUAGUUCCAGCUACUUAGGAGGCUGAAACACAGGAAUCGCUUGAACCCGGGAGGUGGAGGUUGCAGUGAGCUGAGAUUGUGCCACUGUACUCCAGCCUGGGUAACAGAGGGAGACUCUAUGCCAAACAAACAAACAAACAAACAAACAAACAAUGGAGACCAGAAAGCAAUGAGAUGAAAUGUUCAAAGUGCUGAAAGAAAAAAAAAAAGGUCAACCAAAAGUCUUAUAUCCAGAAUAUUUUUCAAAGUAUAAAAGCAAAAUACAUUCUCAGAUAAUAAAAACAAAACAAACUAAAAGAGUUUGUUGCUAUCAUACCUACCUUACAAGAAAUACUCAGUGAUUUUUUUCAGGCUAAUAGGCUAGGAGCAUUUGGCACCUAACAGUAAUUUGAAUUUAUAUAUAUGUUUGUAUACAUAUAUAUGGAACACUCAUAGAGGUAAUUAUAUGAAUAGUUAUAUAAGACAUUAAAUUGCAUAUUUUUAUUUUCUCUUAAUUCAAAAUAAAUGCAUAAAACAAUAUAUGUAUAAUAGUGUUGAGCCUAUAAUGCAAACAAAACUAAUAUAUUUGACAUUAAGAGCACAAAAGAAAUAAUUGGAGCAAAGUUGUAUUAAAGAAAUGAAAUGACACUAAGAUACAACUUGAAUCAACAGGAAAAAAAUGAAGAGAACCAGAAAUUGUAAAGAAUAAUGUUAACAUAACAAUGCUAAUAGUUACUUUGCUUUCCUUUCUUCUCUCAUGUUCUUUAAAAGACAUAAAAUUACAUAAAAACAAGCAUUAUAACAAUAUAUUUUUGUGUUUGUAACAUGUAGAUGUAAUAUAUAUAUAACAAUUAUUGAAUAAGUAGAAUAAAUAGACCUAUAAAGAAUUAAUGUUACUAUGUCUCAAUGGAUUUAUGUUACUAUAAAUGUUGAGUCUGAUAAGAUGUAUGUUGUAAGGCAUACAGCAAUCGAUAAGAAAGUAAUAUGAAAUAUAUUUUAUAAGUGAGUUUGAUUUAUUUUAAGAAAAUAAAAUACUACGUUAGGAACUAUUUACUUAAUUUAAAAGAAAAUAGUAAAAGAGAAAAAGGAGAAUAAAAAACAUUAGACAGAUACACAAAAAGCAAAAUUACGGACAUAGUGCAACCAUAUCAAUAACAUUAAUGAAUGAAACAUUUCCAUUACAAGGCAGAGAUCAGCAGAGUACAUAAAAACCAAGAUCCAACAAUACAUUGUCUAUAGGAAAAACAAUCAAAUAUAUAAAUAGAUUGAAAGUUAAAAGAUGGAAAAACACUAUCACGUAAACAACAACUAUAAAAAAAUUAAAGUAGUUAUCAUAAUAUCAGACAAAAUAGACAUUGAAAUAAAAUACCACUUCACAAUCAAUGGAAUGGCUAUAAUCAGAUAGACAGAUAGUGUUUGUGAGGAUAUGAAGAAAUUAUAAUCAUUAUGCUUACUAGUAGGGAUUUAAAAUGGUGCCAUUACUUUGGAAAACAUUUUGUCAGUUCUUCAAAAAAUUAAAAAUAGAGUUAUCAUAUGAACCAGAAUUUCCACUCUUAACAAAAAAUUUUACAUAAAAUUUAUGACAGCAUUAUUUGUAAUAGGAAAAAUGAAAACAGUUCAAAUGUCCAUCUACUGAUUAAUGGAUAAAAUGUGGUUUAUCCAUACAGUAGAAUAUUAUUUAACAAUAAAAUGAAUAAAGUACUAACAUGCUGCUACAUGUUAUAAAAGAAAAAAAUCCUUGAGAACAUUACGGUAAAUAAAAAGAUCCAGUUAUAAAAGAUUACAUAUUUUAUUAUUCUGUUUAUUUAAAAUACCCACAAUAAGCAAAUCUAGAAAUAGAAUGUAGAUUUGUGAUUGCCUGGAGCCACCACUAAUGGGGACGUGUGUGAGGAUGAGGAUUGACAGCUAAUGAGCAUAGGGUUAUUUUUAUAGUGGCAAAGAUGUUCUAAAAUUAAUUGUGGUGAUGGUUUUAAAAUUCUGAGUAUACUAAAAACCGUUGAAUUAUAUACUAAAAAUGAGUGAAUUGUUUGUGAAUGUUUCAGUAAAACUUAAAAAAUAUGAUUGUCAGAUAAAAUGUAGUGUGCUCAGUUAAAUAUGAUUUUGAGAUACACAGUGAAUAACUAGGAUAAAUAUAUCCCAAAUAUUGCAUAUUAUAAAACUAUAUUACAUUUAUAAAUAAAAUAUUUUAUAAAUAAACACGCUUUUAUAAAUAAUUACCCAUUGAUUAUCUCAAAUUCAGAUUGAACUGGGUGUCUUAUAUUUUUAUUUGAUAAAUCUGGCAACCCUACAUCAAGACAAAAUAGCCUGCGCCCAGGCAGCAAUUUAUCUGAUUUUUCUUUAAAUAACUGCCCAAAGCACUCCAAGAGAGCUAGCUUCACAUCUAGUUGCUUAUACAGUAUAUACAGAACAUAAGUAUUUCGACCUUGCAAAACUUAGCACAUUUUAUGCAUCAUAUCUUACUACUAUUGUAUUAGUAAUAUCUGUUUAAUAUACCUAAGUCUGUUUAGCCCUUGCCAAGUAUACAAUUUUAAUAAAAAGACAAAACUUGUCAUCUCUUUCUUGUUUAUAUCUUGGGCAUACUGCUGAAGAAGUGUGUGAUGGUUAAUACCAAGUGUCAACUUGGUUGGAUUCAAGGAUGCGAAAUAUUGAUUCUGGGUAUGUCUGUGAGCAUGUUGCCAAAGGAGAUUAACAUUUGAGUCAUUGGGUUGGGAAAGGCAGACCCACCCUUAAUCUGGGUGGGCACCAUCUAAUCAGCUGCCAGUGCAGGUAGAAUAUAAAGCAGGCAGAAAAACAUGAAAAGGCUAAACUGUUGGGAGAAAUAGGAAUGCUUUUACACUGUUGGCGGGAGUGUAAAUUAGUUCAAUCAUUGUGAAAGACAGUGUGGUGAUUCCUCAAGGAUCUAGAACCAGAAAUACCAUUUGACCCAGCAAUCCCAUUACUGGGUAGAUACCCAAAGGACUAUAAAUCAUUCUACUAUAAAGACACAUGUACAUGUAUGUUUAUUGCAGCACUAUUUACAAUAGCAAAGACUAAGAAUCAACCCAAAUGCCCAUCAAUGAUAGACUAAAGAAAAUGUGGCAUGUAUACACCAUGGAAUACUAUGCAUGAAAAGGCAUGAAUUCAUGUUCUUUGCAGGGACAUGGGUGAAGCUGGAAACCAUCAUCCUCAACAAACUAACACAGGAACAGAAAAGCAAACACCGCAUGUUCUCACUCAUAAGUGGGAGUUGAACAAUGAGAACACAUGGACACAGGGAAGUGAACACCACACACUGGGGCCUGUCGGGGGUUGAGGGGCAAGUGGAAGGAGAGCAUUAGGACAAAUACCUAAUGCAUGUGGGGCUUAAAACCUAUAUGGGUUGAUAGGCACAGCAAACCACAAUGGCACAUGUAUACCUAUGUAAUAAAGCUGCAUGUUCAGCACAUGUAUCCCAGAACUUACAGUAAAAUAGAAAUAAAUAAAUAAAUAAAUAAAUAAAUAAAUGCUAGACUGGCUUAGCAUCCAGCCUACAUCUUUCUCCUGUGCUAGAUGCUUCCUGUCCUCAAACAUCGGACUCCAAAUUCUUCAGCUUUGGGACGGACUGGCUUCCUUGCUCCUCAGCUUGCAGACAGCCGACUGUGGGACCUUGUGAUCAUAAUACCACAGUCUGGAGGCUAUGAAGUCCAUGAUUAAGAAGCCAGCACGUUUGCUUUCUGGUUCCAAGAUGGCAUACCUUUUUGCUGCUUCCUCCAGAGAGGAGGAACACUGUGUUCUCACAUAGUAGAAGAUGGAAGGAGCAGAUGCAGAUGAGCAUGGCAAUGUGAGAAUAUGUCAGAGGCCCCAGGAUGAAAUGAGCUCAAGUCCCUGAAAUCCCUGUUAGAAGAGUCUUUCCACUGGUUGGGAAUGCUAAUUGUAUUUUGACAACUCAAUGUUUCAGCAACUCAAAAUGUUACAGCUUCUGCAUUGGAAUAAAAAAAGGAAAGAAAACAGAAUUUGUACUCAUAUCAGAAGGCAAUCAAAGAACAUACACAUAAUAUACAUUCUAUUAUAGAGGGAGAUGAAGAAGAAGUAUGGAAGAAGUAAGAUGAAGAAGAAGUAUGGAAGAAGUAAGUUGUCUGUGUAACCUCAUUCUUCCUGGACAUGGGACAAGAACUUGGGACCCGCUGAAUGAUGGGAGCAAAAGGAGCUGUAUCAUGUUCCUGGCCAGCUGGCUAAACUGCAGAUGGUGACAUGCUCCCAGACUGUGGGAGUGAAGAGUGGCAACCCUUCUGGCGGCCCAGACCUUAGCAUUUCCCAGGCAGAGCUGCUGUAAAACUGUAUCCCUCUUGCUCUUUGCUGGCACCAGGCGACUGGCCCACACAAUGGGAAGCAACAGUGGGGCCAGGCCAGCCCAGGAGGUGUGGGCCAGAGUGGGGUGGUGGGACUGAAAAAGCUGUUAGACAAAUGGGCUGAAACAUGCCCCAACUCUUGCCAUGCUGCAAGGGUUGAGGAGGGAAGAGCUGUCACCCUGCUGGGAUCCCAGAACUCAGGGCUCCCCAAGCCAGGAAUGUGCCAUGCUGUAACACCCUCUUUGGGGCUCUGGGGUUCCUGGUGUCUCCAAGCUUUUGAGUGUCACUGCAUUCUCUUUGUCAAGAUGCUGGUGCCCGCAGCAGAAGCUGCUUAUUGUACGUGUGGUCCAGCCACAGCCUUGCACAGAGCUGGCACCUGUGCUGGUGCCUGAAGCUGCCCCCCCGCUACAGAAAUGAGAAUUCCUGGCUGAGCACAGUGGCCAGACCUGUGCUUGCUUGCUUACACACCUUUUGCCCCUCCGUGCCUGGCUUGCCCUUUAGCAGGCAUGGGAUCCGGGCCAGAAGCAUGAACCAAGUGCAGCCUGCUGGGCUGAGUGGGCUGAACAAGCCAGCCAGUGUGAGUAAAACUCAAGCAGAGGUGCCACCAGCUCUAGAGGUUUCCAGUUGGUGAAGCGACACUCUAAGGAUCCUGUGACCCUCUCUCUCUUGAUGAUCUGAAAUUUCCAUCUCCAUGUAAUUAAAAAUAUAAAAAUACAUCCCAAUAACUUUAAUUUUGGCAGGUUAUGAAUGUGAAAUUAGGGCAUGGUGGCAUGCUCUUGUAAUCCUAGUAGCAUUUUGGAAGGCUGAGGCCACAAGUUCAAGGCUGCAGUGCGGAUUAAUUAUGAGCUCCUAAAUGAUAAAAUUACUGUUGUUAACCGUUAGAGAUGUUGGUAAUUACUAGCUAUGUUGAAAGAAUGACUAAAAAUGCAUUAAGCAUGAAAUCAUUAUUAAGCUCAAAUGGGGCAUAUUUAAAAGAGGAAACAUAGACAUCAAAAUAAAGAAAAGAUGUAGUUGAUAUGUCUUAAAUUUGCUUUUAGUUUUGUAUGUUUUCCUUUUGAAAUGAUAAAAAUAUAUCCAAUAAAUAAAGUUGAUAACUCUCCUUUGCUUUUGUCAUAUAUAAUAAUUUUUCCAGAUAAACAGUUUGAUUGUGCAAAUACCAUAGAAUUCUAGGCAGUGAAUCAAUUUAUUCAGGUUUCAUUUUAAAAUGCUUUGUUAGUAUAAGACAGGUAAUAUAUACUUGUGUAUUUUUUCCUCCUUUGUGUCAAGAGCUGUAUAACUGAUUAAUUGUGCUAAUUUAUUAGCUUUAGAACCAUGCAGAAAGAAGAGUGCUUCACAGAAUGAUUGCUUUAUGAAGCAUAAGGAGAAACAGAUGAACAUGUGAACAGUGAAAGAUCUUUUCCAUGGAACUGUGUUCAUCCUCUGAUUAAAACGAAUUGUGUAAAGUUGUAUAUUGUAUUUCACCCUUAGCAUUUGGAAAUGUGCAUGUAAUUUUGGUUUUGGUGCUUCAUUACAAUAAUGCGUAGAAAGAAAAAAGGUAUUUAUAGAAUAUUGCAAAAGCAAAUUUGUAGGAUAAAAUAUGUCUGGCCAUGUGUAUUAGAUACUAGUUAACUCAUAUCAUUACUUCAUUGGUACUUCACUAAAUUAUGUCACAAAAGCAAAUACAGGAUUUUCCAGAGCAUGCUUUUGGAAAAAUCUGAAGUUUUAUUGAGGACUCAUUAAUUUUCCCUGUCCCAUAACUUACAAUUUAUUUCACAAGCAUUAUAAACUUCAGAUCAUUCAGAUAUUGCAUUUUAGUAUUGUAAAUUAUAAGAAUAGAUUUAGAAUGCAUACUUUUUGAGGAUAGGUUGCUUUCCUUAAUGAAAGUAUCAUAUUUUUAGUUUACAGUGAAAUUUAAAGAAUGGUUUAUUAUUUGAGCUACAAUUGCAAAAACUUUAGAUAAUACAUUUAAACUUGGCAUUAGAAAGAAAAAAACUUUCUAAAUAGAAAAACUUUUCAACUUUUCUAUUUUUCAACUAGAAAUUUAUACAGUUAGAAUGUUUUUAAAGAAAAAGUUUUAUCUGUAAGGGAAGUGCUUACUGCCAACAUAUUUCACCAAAGCUUAAAUUCUCAAGAGGACAUGUCAUCCUUAUAAGCAAACCAUUCUGAUUACAUCAAUCACAUUAUAUUACCUUGGGUGACUGACUUGCAUGAGAAACCAGCAGUUGUGACUUGAAUUGCAAUAUGCAAGACAGUAAAAACCAUAUUUUACUUUAAAAUAUAUUAAUGUAUUACUUUUCCUAAUAAAAUACAUUGAAAAUUUUUAUCAGUAGCCAGGAAAUUAUAGAACUAGGCAGUUGUAUUCCUGAAGCACUUUCAGUGUUCAUGAUAAUUAAUUUGAGAAGUAGACUCUUAUCACACAGUAGCAUCUGUUGAACAUUCUUGUUUUUGGUAAAAUUAAUUUCUGACUGAUUCAUGAAAUAAAUGAUAAGGAACAUAAAUUCAGCUCUUUACUGUAUGACUCAUGUAACCUAUGACUUUUUGGGGGAAGUUUCACAUAAUGGGAAUACAUUAAGAAAUGUUUUAAAUAAAAACACAUAUAACUAACCUUUUCUCUUAGAUCUCAGGCUCUAUCUCCUACUGUUUCAAAGCUCUAUGAUUACAAAUAUUUUAAUAAGGUCAAUGUUAGUAUAUUAUAA